UAGCAGAGGUGACUAGCGUUGUUCGGAAUUAGCGUGGGCGUAAAGGGAGGCGCAGGCGGCUAAUUAGUCUGAAGUGACAAGCCCGGGGCUCAACCCCGGAAUUGCUUUGGAUACUGUUUGGCUUGAGGUACGUCAGAGGUGAGCGGAAUUCCAGUGUAGCGGUGAAAUGCGUAGAGAUGUGGAGGAACACCGAUGGCGAAGGCAGCCCCUGGGCUAACACUGACGCU
rnacentral:rRNA from 1 species